CGACAUCCGCGGUCAGCAGGCAUGAGGCUGUGAUUCAAGACGAGAGACCCAACGCCUCCUCUGCACAUGUGGAGAGGAUCCAGCAGGAGGCAGGAAGCAGGGUUCCUGAAAACCAAGCCGCUGAGAGAGAACAAUGUGCUGAGGAAAUGUGGGCUCCUGAAGGUGCAAAGUCAGUAGAGCAGUAUAUGAGGGACAGCCUGGGUGCCCACCCAACUCCUAACCCUGGAGGCUGAGCACUGCGCGAACACUCAGGAGCUUUAGGGGGAGCAGUUGGUCCCCAGAAAGGCAUCAGCCCAGACCCUUCCUCUGUUUUUCCCUUCUCUGCACGUCUCUGGUUUCACUCCACCUGGGUGUCAGUCAGGGAUACAUGGAAUAGAACCGCACCCUGGGCUCGCUGGAAUGCAGAGGAAAGGUGUGUACCCAUGGAGGUCGUUGUCACACUCAGAAGCCAACACUGUGCUCUCGUGGUGCUAGCCAUGUGGUCUGAGGCUGGAGCUGAUGUUAAACUACAAGGAUUUGCAUUGAACGGACACAAAGAGAGAGCAAGUCACGGCACAUGGCCAAAUGAAAGAGUGAUGUUCUGGCGAAUUUAGCCGAAAUAAUUUACUGCUAUAUAAAAGUGGGGAAGUGGAAGGUACAGCCUUUGACCAAUAAAUCCCUGCUGCCCGUGAAACCCUUAUCUGGUCCCCUCCGAUAUAUUCCACACAAGGAAGCCAUCAUCAUUGGCUCUGGUUUGUUAUUUGUAAAGCUUGAUCUUCUGCACCCGGUGUCCUAAAUAUGGGUAAUUAGCAUCAGUUUAUCGCACUUCUGCAUAUUUCCCCCACUCUCCAAACACGCGUGCUUC